GACGAACGCUGGCGGCGUGCCUAAUACAUGCAAGUCGAGCGAACAGACGAGGAGCUUGCUCCUCUGACGUUAGCGGCGGACGGGUGAGUAACACGUGGAUAACCUACCUAUAAGACUGGGAUAACUUCGGGAAACCGGAGCUAAUCCCGGAUAAUCUAUUGAACCGCGUGGGUCAAUAGUGAAAGACGGCUUUGCUGUCACGAAUAGAUGCAUAUGCGCCGUAUUAGCUAGUUGGUAAGGUAACGGGUUACCAAGGCAAGGAGGCGUAGCCGACGGGGUAGGGGGGUCGGCCACACGGGAACGGGAACACGCACCAGACGCCUACGGGAGGGAGCAGAAGGGAAUCGUACGCAGUGGGGGAAAGCCUGACGGAACGAGGCCGCGUGAGUGAUGAAGGUCUUCGGAUCGUAAAACCGUGUUUUUGGGGAAAAACAAAUGUGUAAGUAACUGUGCACGUCGUGACGGUACCUAAUCAGAAAGCCACGGCUAACUACGUG
rnacentral:rRNA from 1 species